AUGCCUAUCUCUAAGUCUCUGGCAGCAUUAUGUUAUUGGCACUUUUGUGAUCUGAGAAGCUGCCUGACUAAGUUGCCUAUCAAGAUGAACAUUCCAUCUCUGGAUUCUGCUUGCGUGGAAUUUAUUUCACCAUAUAUUUUUCAAUGCAGCUAGAAAGUACUGGCUUUCUAUCUUGAAUCCGGUGGCCCCAGAAGCAAGUGCUGGCAAGCAUGCCAUGCGCUUUUGGUCAUUAAUUAAUCCGCGUUUAACCUGUUUGUAUACAGCGAGAACAUGUAAUGAAUAAUUCCAUACAUGUGCGUGGCUGGGGGCCGAUCAUUUUUGUAAUAAAGCUUUAUGAGUUGUAUAAAUAAAAAAGUAACAUUGGUAUGACAUUGUGAGUUUCACUGGUGUGCUUUACCUAGUGCUUACUGAACUCACUAUUUUUCAUUUAUCCAUUGCAGGAUUUGUAAUGAUGCAUAAUGAUCAAAAUGCGGAUUUACGGUUUUGUUAGCACAGUUUUCGCAUUUUGAUGAGCGCUAGAACUAUAUAUAAAAGUUGACAGUCACUUUAGCGAACACUGAAGAGGACGAAGGCAGAAGCCUGCGCACUCACGAAGCAUUAAUUAAAUUAUUUGUCAUUCUCA